AUGUGCUCACUUCUGCAACAUAUAUACUAAAAUUGGAACGAUAAAGAGAAGAUUAGCAUGGCCCCUGCCCAAGGAUGACAUGCAAAUUCAUGAAGUGUUUCAUAUUUUA
rnacentral:snRNA from 1 species